rnacentral:tmRNA from 1 species
GGGGUUGACAGGAAUUGACGGCAGGAUAGUUGGUAAGUAAGCAUGCCGAGCAUUGUGCAAUUUGGCUCGUUAAAUUUAAUGCAUAAAACUUUUUUAUAUGGCGAGAAUACUUUCGCAAUGGCUGCUUAGUACAGGUUAUUAAGCUUGGCCUUUGCUCCUCGAAUCGGUUUUUCCGAUGCCCUUCGACGGAGCAUCAUCCAAUCGGAAUAGUUACUUAAUGGUUUCGCUUAAGUAAUAAAAUUUAGAAAAUAAGCUUAUAAUCGGUUGGCAAAAACGCCUGUUAUAAGACGAAAAAUAAGUUAGUGCUAAGCAUGUAGAAAGCUUAUGAACGUUUUGUCCGGACGCGAGUUCAAAUCUCGCCAGCUCCACCA